AGCUAAUUGCUUUCUUCUCUAUUAGAUAUGAACCAAUAUCAAAGACUCCAAGUGCUCUUGGCUGGUUGUAAAAGCUCUGGAACGUGCAAACGACGACCAAAAGAAACUGUUAUAUGGGAACUACGGAAAAGCCUAUCCAGCAUGUGUUGCCAAAGUGAAAGAGCUGUAUAAAACUCCGGACAUUCAGGGUGCAUUUGCGGAGUUCGAGAGCAAGAAUUACGAGAAGAUAACAAAGCAAGUCGAGGCUCAUCGAUGCAAAGCCGUGCAAGCUAUUAAGCGAAGAUAUACAUACAAGAGGCAGAAGUGGAGAUUUGAGCUGAACAAAGAUAAACAAACAUCGGAUUAUAUCCAUAGGGGAAUAAAUGUUGGCAAAAUCUAGACAAUUUGGACAGUAUUUUUAUUAGGAAAUGCAAAUUAAAUAUAGAAAUAAGUUGUUAAAACAAUAAAUAG